CAGUAGCCGCGGGAAUACGAAGGGGACUAGCGUUGCUCGGAAUCACUGGGCGUAAAGGGUGCGUAGGCGGGUCUUUAAGUCAGGGGUGAAAUCCUGGAGCUCAACUCCAGAACUGCCUUUGAUACUGAAGAUCUUGAGUCCGGGAGAGGUGAGUGGAACUGCGAGUGUAGAGGUGAAAUUCGUAGAUAUUCGCAAGAACACCAGUGGCGAAGGCGGCUCACUGGACCGAUACUGACGCUGAGGCACGAAAGCGUGGGGAGCAAACAGGAUUAGAUACCCGAGUAGUCCCUGUCUCUUAUAC
rnacentral:rRNA from 1 species